CAACUGCAAGUUCUACCAAUGCUGGGGCAUCCGUCAGCUGAGACUCGCGAACUCGAUGGAAGUAAGGAAAAAAGCGGUCACCUUUUCCCUUGUCUUAGAGUUGUGCCACAUUGUAAUUGGGUCGGUGGAUGUCGCAAUCUUAAAAGAGGUUCUUCGGCAACGUGUUCAUUUGGAGGACAUGAAGAUCACCCCACCAUAGCAGUGAUGGAAGUGCUGCUCCAAUUGCUCCAAACUGCUCCAAAAGAGAAAUGCUGCUCCAUGCUGCUCCAAACUGCAAUUUUUGUUAGUAACUGCUCCGGACUUGCUCCGAAAUGGCACUGGUAAACUGAAAACAAUGAACUUUUAAGCACAUGAUCAUCCAGCAAGCGUAAA